AAAACGUAACACACACAGCUGAUUCCUCCAUUCAGCAGCAGCAGCUCAUUCUUGGCGAAAGGAGUUUGAGAUUUAUUUGUAUCUGCAUUAAACAAAAUAAAUUUGUCUAUAAUAUUCUUGAACGCGACUAAGUUUGACGCACAUGCUUUCGCGCGUUCCCUUUUAGCUAUCCUCUAAACGCUGAUCGACCGGAGUCAGGGAGUGCCUCAUUCGGUCAGAUUCUCAAUCGACCCCGAGGUUCCAGAGGCCUUCGAGAUAACAGCAACAGAAAUGUCAGACUCGGACAGUGAUGAGGACCAGGACCGGCCCUUUCACCUAACAGGGUUUCUUUUUGGAAACAUAAAUGAGAAUGGACAGCUGGAAGAUGACAGUGUGCUGGAUAUGUGAAACCACAGACUUUUUGCACUGAAUGCCUUUAGUGGAGAGAGACUAAGAAGGAAUAAUGAAUAUAUGCU